rnacentral:other from 1 species
AUAUCCCUGCAGUGCGCGUUGGAAUUUUGAUAAUUAUUGAACCAACACCAAUAACAAGGGAGCCCGUUAUUCUUUAACACCUUGGUGUUUAAAGAUAGGGCACCCACCUGAAACCAAACUGGUUCAGACUAUUCAGUCCAACGGCACUUAUGCGGGGAUUUU